AUCAUGUUUCACGUAUUUUGUUUCACAGACAAAAGAAAGAGCGAGACCAAUUUUUUGGCUUUGACGCCUCACGUUUUUUUCAUCGUAGUGAUUUUCCUUUCUGUUACAAAGUAAAGAAGAAAAGAAGCCAGUGAUUGGUAAAUGUUUUGAUGCCGCGGAUAUCCAUCGCUUAAAAAAAGAAAAGAAAUAAGCAAAGAAGAGUCCAAUAAAUGCUUAUUGUUCAUACAAAAAGAUGUGUAACGUGGUGCAGGAGGUAACUGAGGGGCUCUGUGUUGAAUUACGGAUUCAUCACUGUCAUCAUCGUCUAAUGAGAAAAAAUACCCAAUCAUCGCAUAACAAUGUUUAUUGAGUACUCAAGCUAUACUAAAAAUACUAAAAUGUGCUUAAUUUAUUGCUUGCCAAAGAUGCAAUAUUUAGGUAGCUACGGAAAUACAUUCAGUCUUAAUUCUAUCUUUUCUCAUCUUAAGUAAGAAGACGUAGCCAAAUUCAAAGAACUUAUUGUGUUUCGCACACAAGAUCCUUCAUUGACUACAGCCAUAUACGCACGUAGGUAGUUAUAACAGUAGAAAUAAAACACUUUUCUGUGUUACUGUGUACGUAAGUUGUUGUGAUCGGAGAGAAAUAUCUAGAAUACUAUAUAACCUACUUUCUA